rnacentral:rRNA from 1 species
AACGAACGCUGGCGGCAUGCCUAACACAUGCAAGUCGAACGAGACCUUCGGGUCUAGUGGCGCACGGGCGCGUAACGCGUGGGAACCUGCCCUUAGGUUCGGAAUAACUCCCCGAAAGGGGUGCUAAUACCGGAUAAUGUCUUCGGACCAAAGAUUUAUCGCCUUUGGAUGGGCCCGCGUUGGAUUAGCUAGUUGGUAGGGUAAAAGCCUACCAAGGCGACGAUCCAUAGCUGGUCUGAGAGGAUGAUCAGCCACACUGGGACUGAGACACGGCCCAGACUCCUACGGGAGGCAGCAGUGGGGAAUAUUGGACAAUGGGCGAAAGCCUGAUCCAGCAAUGCCGCGUGAGUGAUGAAGGCCUUAGGGUUGUAAAGCUCUUUUACCCGGGAUGAUAAUGACAGUACCGGGAGAAUAAGCUCCGGCUAACUCCGUGC